rnacentral:misc_RNA from 1 species
AAACCUUGUUGGCCACUCAUUUGUAAACUCUUUCUUUCUCUCUAUCGGAGUUCUGUUAACUUGUUCAUAUUUCUUCCCUUUAAUAUUCUGUAUGCAUUUGGAUUUGCUUGCAUGUAAAGUGAUACUACAAUUAUCUUUGGCAUGGACCAUUUGUUUUUGAUGCUUUAUUGCUUAUUUCUUGCCUUAUUGGGAGAAAUUCCAGAGGAGUUAAGUGAAACUUUUUUUCCCCUUGUGAGAUGUAUCAUUUCCAAUCUUUGAUCCAUAAUUCAUCAUAUUGGAAACCAUGCUUGCCCAUGGACCUCGGGCUGUUGAAUGCAAUUUGUUGCAAAUUGCAAGUUAUAUGAUAUUGCUUACGGCUAGGUUUGAUAUGGAUCUAGAUGCUCGGUAGUUUCAGUUGCAUAUUCAGUGAAUGUAAAUAUCAGUUUACUUGGAUUUUAUUCAUUAAUAUGAUUGGUUCACAUAAUGUUAUAUGAAAAUGUCAACUUUUAUUUAUAUAUUUAUUUAUUGUAUGGAAAAGACACUUAUUUCAUUUUAAAAUAACUGAGACAGCAUCUAUACUGAAGAAAAAAAAGAAUGA